UGUCCAAUGGUGUAGUGGUAGCACAACAGAUUUUGGUUCUGUUAGCGGAGGUUCGAAUCCUCCUUGGAUAA
rnacentral:tRNA from 5 species